rnacentral:pre_miRNA from 1 species
UUAACUUAAAUUUGUAUGCAGUUGGAACAGCGCCCCUGGCGGCAAACGUUCCAACUCCAUACAAAGUUGAGUUA